AGUGAGGAAGGUGGGUAUGUUAAUAGCAUACUCAUUUGACGUUAGCUGCAGAAGAAGCACCGGCUAACUCCGUGCCAGCAGCCGCGGUAAUACGGAGGGUGCGAGCGUUAAUCGGAAUUACUGGGCGUAAAGCGCAUGCAGGUGGUUUGUUAAGUCAGAUGUGAAAGCCCGGGGCUCAACCUCGGAAUUGCAUUUGAAACUGGCAAACUAGAGUACUGUAGAGGGGGUAGAAUUUCAGGUGUAGCGGUGAAAUGCGUAGAGAUCUGAAGGAAUACCGGUGGCGAAGGCGGCCCCCUGGACAGAUACUGACACUCAGAUGCGAAAGCGUGGGGAGCAAACAGGAUUAGAUACCCUGGUAG
rnacentral:rRNA from 1 species